AUUGCUUCUUGGCCUCUUAGUACACAUUGAUUGUAGUCUAUCUGUUCUUAUCAGCUUUAAUGUCUGAUGUGUUGUUUACUUAAGGGCCCUAUGUUAAACAGACUUUUGGAGCAGGGAGUUGGACCAGGGGCUUGCUCUGUCCGCUCCGUGCAUCAUCCUGGUAUUGCAGUGUUUCCAGGAAUGUUGCACUCUCA